GAUGAAGAACGCAGCGAAAUGCGAUAAGUAAUGCGAAUUGCAGAAUUCAGUGAGUCAUCGAAUCUUUGAACGCACAUUGCGCCUGCCAGCACUCUGGCAGGCAUGCCUGUUCGAGCGUCAUUUCAACCAUCAAGCCCUAGGCUUGCGUUGGAGCCCUGCGGCUGCCGCAGGCCCCUAAAAGCAGUGGCGGGCUCGCUAUCACACCGAGUGCAGUAGAUUACUCUUCGCUCAGGGCGUGUGGCGGGUUCCAGCCGUGAAACCCCCUACUUCUCAAGGUUGACCUCGGAUCAGGUAGGAAUACCCGCUGAACUUAAGCAUAUCAAUAAGCGGAGGA
rnacentral:misc_RNA from 1 species